UACGGGGGGGGGCAAGCGUUGUUCGGAAUUACUGGGCGUAAAGGGCUCGUAGGCGGCCAACUAAGUCGGACGUGAAAGCCCUCGGCUUAACCGAGGAACUGCGUCCGAUACCGGAUGGCUUGAGGUUGGGAGAGGGAUGCGGAAUUCCAGGUGUAGCGGUGAAAUGCGUAGAUAAUCAGGAGGAAUACCGGUGGUGUAGACGGCUCUCUGGACCGUAACUGACACUGAGACACGAAAGCGUGGGUAGCAAACAGG
rnacentral:rRNA from 1 species